AAUAAGAUUUGCUGAGCAUAAGAUAAGAGCUCUGUUAUUAUUUAUCUGCUGCAGUAACACGAUAGCAUAAUUCAAAGAGAGGCACAUUCAUUUUAUUCCUUAUGCCUUUGUGCCAUUCACCUUGGAGAAAAUAAGAUAGAAGACUUUGGUGGUAUAAAAAUAGCACAAGCUAUGGAGUAGAUGGUUGGAAUUUAAACUUAGGACACUGUAUUUGAUCCCAUUCUAUUUUUUUUUAUUACCCAGUCUUGCUCUGUAAAUUGCAGUCCAAGUAGGAUCAGAAUAGUUGAAAUGGUUUGUCAGUGAAGUCACUGCCAGAAUGGCCACUCCAUGGAAUUUGUUCCUAAUGAGAUUAUUAAGCCUGUGUUUACUCUGUGGACUCCGAAUCACUGAUGUAAACUAAUACAUUGUUAUUUUGCUGCCAAGAUUGCAUCAGUUCAUUUUCUUUUCUGACAGAUUAAAUCUGAUGCGGCAGCCGUCCCCGUCCCCCCGCAGGAAUGUACAGCCAGGGUGUAUGGUACAGGAUGUUUAGAGCUGCAAGAGGCUGUCUUCUUGAGGAAGGGAAAUGCCCUGGGGAAAUGGCCUUUACCAAAUUGCCAGCGAAGUGAGUGCUUCAUAAUAAUCAGAGGUUGGCUCUAACCAAAACCUUGGACUUUGGAAUAACUGAAUUUGGAAUAAAUGCAAACUUAGCAGGAGAAUGGAAAACACAAGAUGUACUACUUCACAGGGCUCAACAUGAGAACUUCAGUGGAGAUGCCUCCUAAUCCCAUGGUUGGGACACUUAAGGACACCGACUCCAAAGAAAAAUGUUCCCAAAGUACUCACGCUAGAGCCAUAAUCCCAUAAGGCCAGGAGCGGAUUUCCAGCCUCUUCAGGCUUUUCAUCUCAUCAGAUGUCAGCACCAUCCCGCUAUCCGACUCGCUUUCCUGUACAGCAAAAGGAACAGGACAUCAGUAACAUAGUAACUGAAAAGACAGCGCUGCAGCUCUCUCGGAUUGACAGCAAGGGGGAAAAAGCGUGAUGGAGAAUUUGUACUGGGCAGCAAUUAAAGCCACUGGAGAAGGAAGAGCAAAGGGGCCAGUUCAAACACCAAGUUCCAGCUGGAGUCUAGCCUUCUCUCACUUACUCUUCUGAAGCAUUUUUUGUGUUGUGAUAGGGGCCAGACUCUCAGUCCUACAGGCUGAAUUCCCUCAUUUGUCCACAGAGCAGGUAAAGCCCAGGCAGGAGCAGUGCAAGGUUUCCUCAUCCCUGGAGAGGCUGCCACUAGGUAGGGUGACCAGACAGCAAGUGUGAAAAAUCAGGACAGGGAGUGGGGGGUGAUAGGCACCUAUAUAAGACAAAGACCCAAAUAUCGGGACUGUCCCUAUAAAAUUGGGACAUCUGGUCACCCUACCACUAGGUGGGGUUGAGGUUCCAAGGCCAGUUCAGUUACUGGCCUCUCAGGCACUGACUGCUGACAAGGAAGCCAUUUGUAGUGGUGAUUAUUAUUACUAUUUUUUUUAGGUACACAGUAGUGUACCAGGAGCUGGAGUGAGACCUACCAACUCAUGCCACACACAGCACCAAAGAGUCUUCAGAUGAGCAUUUGCCAAGUUUGGGUUGGACUCAAAUCAACAACCUACAGCGCUAACGCUCUGUAUUAUGGCCCCCAUUCAGCAAAAGCACUGGCACACGUACUUUAAAAACUCACCUCUAUGCAGAAAAGCACUUAAAAACACACACAACUUUCAGCUCUUCCAUAACGCCCACUGAUUUGGAAGUUAAGCCCAUGUUUGUGUGCUUUGCUAAAUUGGGGCCUAUGUUACCGUUCCGCUUAGCCAUCUGGGCCCCUUGGUACUUUUUGUUUAGUCUUUGAAAAUUUGCCUUGUUUUUAUGGAGUUAAAAAUGUUAUUGAUCAUUUUUCAAACGGCCAUAAAAUGCAGUGAUAUGCACAGGGCUCAAAUAAUGUAUACAGACGGAAAGACAUUAAUAGUGGGGGAAGACUGUGUCAAAUAAAAGAAAGCAAACAUAAGUGAUGAUUCUUCUCUCUUAUUUUGGCUUUCUGGUAUUUUAAAGAGAAAUUCUACAUACACAUAUCACAACAAGAAGCUUUUUUGCCAUUUCAGACUUGAAAUCUGUUAUUAAACAUGAUGUAGGGGUAUCUUCUAGAUUGCGAAGCUGAAAUCUGAAUGAAGGUUUAUAAAGUGCACAUCCAUUUAUAGGUCUCCUGAGUUAAACACUAUCUUAAAUAUCUUCUAGAAUU